rnacentral:rRNA from 1 species
GACGAACGCUGGCGGCGUGCUUAACACAUGCAAGUCGAACGGAAAGGCCCUGCUUUUGUGGGGUGCUCGAGUGGCGAACGGGUGAGUAACACGUGAGUAACCUGCCCUUGACUUUGGGAUAACUUCAGGAAACUGGGGCUAAUACCGGAUAGGAGCUCCUGCUGCAUGGUGGGGGUUGGAAAGUUUCGGCGGUUGGGGAUGGACUCGCGGCUUAUCAGCUUGUUGGUGGGGUAGUGGCUUACCAAGGCUUUGACGGGUAGCCGGCCUGAGAGGGUGACCGGCCACAUUGGGCCUGAGGUACGGCCCAGCCUCCUACGGGAGGCAGCAGUGGGGAAUAUUGCACAAUGGGCGGAAGCCUGAUGCAGCAACGCCGCGUGCGGGAUGACGGCCUUCGGGUUGUAAACCGCUUUCGCCUGUGACGAAGCGUGAGUGACGGUAAUGGGUAAAGAAGCACCGGCUAACUACGUG